GAUGAAGAACGUAGCGAAAUGCGAUACUUGGUGUGAAUUGCAGAAUCCCGUGAACCAUCGAGUCUUUGAACGCAAGUUGCGCCCGAAGCCAUUAGGCCGAGGGCACGCCUGCCUGGGCGUCACACGUCGUUGCCCCCCCAUCUACUCCUUCGGGAUUGCGGGGGGCGGAUGAUGGCCUCCCGUGCGCCUCGUCGCGCGGUUGGCAUAAAUGCCAAGUCCUCGGCGACGCACGCCACGACAAUCGGUGGUUGCGAAACCUCGGUUGCCCGUCGUGUGCGGUCGUCGCGCAUCGAGGGCUCGAAAAAAUUGCCGGGCUCCGGCUCGGCAUUCAACGCGACCCCAGGUCAGGCGGGGUUACCCGCUGAAUUUAAGCAUAUCAAUAAGCGGAGGA
rnacentral:misc_RNA from 1 species